rnacentral:rRNA from 1 species
AUGAGACGAAGGAGAGCCACCCAAAGGGCCCGAGGGGCUACGCGACAAGCAGUAGGCACCCAAUCCAAAUCAGGAGAGCCCACGCCCCCGGAAAAACCUCAGAAAAAUCCAACCGAGAAACUCGUCGCGCCGAGAUCGGUCGCCUGGCUGCGGAGCGGGAGAGCGGGACGGCGGCGGCGGAGCUCACCUCGCGGGGGCGGGAUCAGGCGGAGAGGAGGCGGCGGCGGCGCACCCGAAGCAGCGCCAGCAUCUCGCGCGGUCUGCAGCAGGUCGCGGGCGGGGCGCUCUCUCUCUCCCUCUGUGGCUCGUUGGGAGGUGGGAGGGAGGAUGGGGAGAGGUUGGGAGGGAGGGAUUAUUUAUGGGUUUGGAUUCGGGGCGAUUGCCGGGUUAAAAGUGAGACGGGAAGCUGCACUCGCUGUUUUUUCCUCUCCUUUUGGGAGGAAGGGGCAGUAG